rnacentral:tRNA from 1 species
ACUGUGGCGCAACGGUAGCGCAUCGGUUUUGUAAACCGCGGGUUGCAGGUUCGAAUCCUGUCAGUG